GCUCCUGUGGCCUAAGUGGUUGUUAGGUCGUCCUCCUCGGAUGCGGGAGGUCGCUGGUUCGAACCCCGCCAAAGUCA